ACUCCUACGGGAGGCAGCAGUGGGGAAUAUUGCACAAUGGGCGCAAGCCUGAUGCAGCCAUGCCGCGUGUAUGAAGAAGGCCUUCGGUUGUAAAGUACUUUCAGCAGUGAGGAAGGUGGAUAUGUUAAUAGCAUAUUCAUUUGACGUUUAGCUGCAGAAGAAGCACCGGCUAACUCCGUGCCAGCAGCCGCGGUAAUACGGAGGGUGCGAGCGUUAAUCGGAAUUACUGGGCGUAAAGCGCAUGCAGGUGGUUUGUUAAGUCAGAUGUGAAAGCCCGGGGCUCAACCUCGGAAUUGCAUUUGAAACUGGCAAACUAGAGUACUGUAGAGGGGGUAGAAUUUCAGGUGUAGCGGUGAAAUGCGUAGAGAUCUGAAGGAAUACCGGUGGCGAAGGCGGCCCCCUGGACAGAUACUGACACUCAGAUGCG
rnacentral:rRNA from 1 species